rnacentral:rRNA from 1 species
ACUCCUACGGGAGGCAGCAGUGGGGAAUUUUGGACAAUGGGCGAAAGCCUGAUCCAGCAAUGCCGCGUGAGUGAAGAAGGCCUUCGGGUUGUAAAGCUCUUUUGUCAGGGAAGAAACGGUGAAAGCUAAUAUCUUUUGCUAAUGACGGUACCUGAAGAAUAAGCACCGGCUAACUACGUGCCAGCAGCCGCGGUAAUACGUAGGGUGCAAGCGUUAAUCGGAAUUACUGGGCGUAAAGCGUGCGCAGGCGGUUUUGUAAGUCUGAUGUGAAAUCCCCGGGCUCAACCUGGGAAUUGCAUUGGAGACUGCAAGGCUAGAAUCUGGCAGAGGGGGGUAGAAUUCCACGUGUAGCAGUGAAAUGCGUAGAUAUGUGGAGGAACACCGAUGGCGAAGGCAGCCCCCUGGGUCAAGAUUGACGCUCAUGCACGAAAGCGUGGGGAGCAAACAGGAUUAGAAACCCGUGUAGUCCCAUGAU